GCCUUCAUAGCUCAGUUGGUAGAGCAGCUGACUCUUAAUCAGCGGGUCGUAGGUUCGAGCCCUACUGAAGGCACCA
rnacentral:tRNA from 1 species